AGUGAACGCUGGCGGUAGGCCUAACACAUGCAAGUCGAACGGCAGCACAGUAAGAGCUUGCUCUUACGGGUGGCGAGUGGCGGACGGGUGAGGAAUACAUCGGAAUCUACUUUUUCGUGGGGGAUAACGUAGGGAAACUUACGCUAAUACCGCAUACGACCUACGGGUGAAAGCAGGGGAUCUUCGGACCUUGCGCGAUUGAAUGAGCCGAUGUCGGAUUAGCUAGUUGGCGGGGUAAAGGCCCACCAAGGCGACGAUCCGUAGCUGGUCUGAGAGGAUGAUCAGCCACACUGGAACUGAGACACGGUCCAGACUCCUACGGGAGGCAGCAGUGGGGAAUAUUGGACAAUGGGCGCAAGCCUGAUCCAGCAAUACCGCGUGGGUGAAGAAGGCCUUCGGGUUGUAAAGCCCUGUUGUUGGGAAAGAAAAGCAGCAGGUUAAUACCCCGCUGUUCUGACGGUACCCAAAGAAUAAGCACCGGCUAACUUCGUG
rnacentral:rRNA from 1 species